rnacentral:snoRNA from 1 species
CGCAAUGAUGAACCCCAUGAUAGGGACAGCUUAUACCUCGGUAUAUGAUGUGAAACCUGGGCGAAUAUUUUAGUAGAUGCUUCGAUUUUCUGAGC